rnacentral:lncRNA from 1 species
UGGUCAUCUGGAUUAAUUUGAUUUGUUUGGUCUAUUUAGUUAAAAUUAAUUUAGACCGGUUUAGCUGGUUAAGAUUGUUUUAAUUAAUUGGAUGAAUCCGGUUUGCAUGAUUAAAAAAAAAUCGGGAUGCAUCUUUUCAAUAUCACUAGGUAGUGUCCCGCGCAUGCGCAGGUUAUCAUAUAAUGAGUAAUUAAUUUACAUUUACUUCAAAAAAUAAAAAA